GGGGAUGACUGGUUUCGACGGUUAAGUUGAAGCGGCAGUCGCGUGUCGAGGUUGGACUCCGGGCCUCGUUAAAAGGAGCCCAAAACAAUAAAUGCUGACGAAAGUUACGCACUCGCUGCCUAAAUAAAGGCGCGACGUCUUUACCCUGACGCCUGUUAGGGGCUAAAGGCGACGACAACAGGCUGGUGUCAAGAUCGGGUAUCCGGGUGGCGACAUGAGAAAAUAACAGGAUAAUAGCGACCAAUGUGGCCAUGUUGACCGGCAGCUGCGGGGGCGAAUCCUUAAUGGUUGACUACACACGUAGACGCUGUCGUGACUCUUGGUCGGACGCGGGUUCGAUUCCCGCCAUCUCCACCA
rnacentral:tmRNA from 1 species